rnacentral:ncRNA from 1 species
CUUAUCGAGAGUGGCGGAGGGAUCGGCCCAAUGAAGCCACGGCAACCUGCUUACCUGAGCAAGGUGCCAAAUCCGGCGGAGACGAGUGUUACACUCGCGCGCAAGAUGAG